rnacentral:rRNA from 1 species
AGCGGCGCGCCUAACACAUGCAAGUCGAGCGAGAAGGGGGCAACCCCUGUAAAGCGGCGCACGGGUGAGUAACACGUAGGUAAUCUACCUCGAGGUGGUGGAUAACCUUCCGAAAGGAGGGCUAAUACAGCAUGGGACCACGUCUUCGAAAGAGGAUGAGGUAAAAGCGGGCCUCUAUACAUAAGCUCGCGCCACGAGAUGAGCCUGCGGCCCAUCAUGGUAGUUGGUAGGGUAACGGCCUACCAAGCCGAAGACGGGUAGCUGGUCUGAGAGGAUGAUCAGCCACACUGGAACUGAGACACGGUCCAGACUCCUACGGGAGGCAGCAGUGGGGAAUCUUGCGCAAUGGGCGAAAGCCUGACGCAGCGACGCCGCGUGAGUGAUGAAGGCCUUCGGGUUGUAAA